CCUACGGGUGGCAGCAGUGGGGAAUAUUGCACAAUGGGCGAAAGCCUGAUGCAGCAACGCCGCGUGCAGGAAGAAGGGUUUCGGCUCGUAAACUUCUAUCAUCAGGGACGAAAGAAAUGACGGUACCUGAAUAAGAAGCCGCGACUAACUACGUGCCAGCAGCCGGGGUAAUACGUAGGGGGCAAGCGUUAUGCGGAAUUACUGGGUGUAAAGGGUGAGUAGGGGGCAAAGUAGGCCAGAUGUGAAAGCCUUGGGCUUAACCUGAGGAUUGCAUUUGAAACUAUCAAGCUAGAGUACAUGAGAGGUAAGCGGAAUUCCUAGUGUAGGGGUGAAAUGCGUAGAUAUUAGGAAGAACACCAGUGGCGAAGGCAGGUUACUGGACUGAUACUGACGCUGAGGCACGAAAGCGUAGGGAGCGAACAGGAUUAGAUACCCUUGUAGUC
rnacentral:rRNA from 1 species